rnacentral:lncRNA from 1 species
CACCUGCAGGCCAUGCCGAGCCCGCAGUCUCCCUCUGCAAGAUCGCUCCGGAGCCUGCUGUCCUCCUCCACCUACAACAGCUCGUCCCCUUUUGAGGAUGAAUAGCUCGCGGUAACCGACGGCUGGGCUCAACGGCAUUCCUAUAUCCCCCAUCUCCUCCCCUCUAGCGAUUGCAGAGGCGACGACAGCUACGCUGCCGGAG